UACAGAGGUCUCAAGCGUUGUUCGGAUUCAUUGGGCGUAAAGGGUGCGUAGGUGGUUUGGUAAGUUGAAGGUGAAAUCUCGGAGCUUAACUCCGAAACUGCCUUCAAUACUGCCGGACUUGAGGACUGUAGAGGAGAAUGGAAUUCACGGUGUAGCAGUGAAAUGCGUAGAUAUCGUGAGGAAGACCAGUGGCGAAGGCGAUUCUCUGGGCAGUUCCUGACACUGAGGCACGAAGGCUAGGGGGGCAAACGGG
rnacentral:rRNA from 1 species